GCAAGUCGAGCGAAUGGAUUGAGAGCUUGCUCUCAAGAAGUUAGCGGCGGACGGGUGAGUAACACGUGGGUAACCUGCCCAUAAGACUGGGAUAACUCCGGGAAACCGGGGCUAAUACCGGAUAACAUUUUGAACUGCAUGGUUCGAAAUUGAAAGGCGGCUUCGGCUGUCACUUAUGGAUGGACCCGCGUCGCAUUAGCUAGUUGGUGAGGUAACGGCUCACCAAGGCAACGAUGCGUAGCCGACCUGAGAGGGUGAUCGGCCACACUGGGACUGAGACACGGCCCAGACUCCUACGGGAGGCAGCAGUAGGGAAUCUUCCGCAAUGGACGAAAGUCUGACGGAGCAACGCCGCGUGAGUGAUGAAGGCUUUCGGGUCGUAAAACUCUGUUGUUAGGGAAGAACAAGUGCUAGUUGAAUAAGCUGGCACCUUGACGGUACCUAACCAGAAAGCCACGGCUAACUACGUGCCAGCAGCCGCGGUAAUACGUAGGUGGCAAGCGUUAUCCGGAAUUAUUGGGCGUAAAGCGCGCGCAGGUGGUUUCUUAAGUCUGAUGUGAAAGCCCACGGCUCAACCGUGGAGGGUCAUUGGAAA
rnacentral:rRNA from 2 species